rnacentral:rRNA from 1 species
AUUGAACGCUGGCGGCAGGCUUAACACAUGCAAGUCGAGCGGAGAUGAGGUGCUUGCACCUUAUCUUAGCGGCGGACGGGUGAGUAAUGCUUAGGAAUCUGCCUAUUAGUGGGGGACAACAUUCCGAAAGGAAUGCUAAUACCGCAUACGUCCUACGGGAGAAAGCAGGGGAUCUUCGGACCUUGCGCUAAAAGAUGAGCCUAAGUCGGCUUAGCUAGUUGGUGGGGUAAAGGCCUACCAAGGCGACGAUCUGUAGCGGGUCUGAGAGGAUGAUCCGCCACACUGGGACUGAGACACGGCCCAGACUCCUACGGGAGGCAGCAGUGGGGAAUAUUGGACAAUGGGGGAAACCCUGAUCCAGCCAUGCCGCGUGUGUGAAGAAGGCCUUAUGGUUGUAAAGCACUUUAAGCGAGGAGGAGGCUACUGAGACUAAUACUCUUGGAUAGUGGACGUUACUCGCAGAAUAAGCACCGGCUAACUCUGUGCCAGCCGCCGCGGUAA